CGUAGGGUGCGAGCGUUGUCCGGAUUUAUUGGGCGUAAAGGGCUCGUAGGUGGUUGAUCGCGUCGGAAGUGUAAUCUUGGGGCUUAACCCUGAGCGGUGCGUUUCGAGUACGGGUUGACUUGAGGAAGGUAGGGGAGAAUGGAAGUCCUGGUGGAGCGGUGGAAUGCGCAGAUAUCAGGAGGAACACCAGUGGCGAAGGCGGUUCUCUGGGCCUUUCCUGACGCUGAGGAGCGAAAGCGUGGGGAGCGAACAGGCUUAGAUACCCUGGUAGUCCACGCUGUAAACGGUGGGUACUAGGUGUGGGGUCCAUUCCACGGGUUCCGUGCCGUAGCUAACGCUUUAAGUACCCCGCCUGGGGAGUACGGCCGCAAGGCUA
rnacentral:rRNA from 1 species